rnacentral:rRNA from 1 species
AAUCUCCCAUAGGUUUAGGGCACUGGAAGGUCCCUAAACCGAAAGGGGCUCUGCCCGCCCGAGGAUGGGCCGGCGGCCGAUUAGGUAGUUGGUGGGGUAACGGCCCACCAAGCCCAUAAUCGGUACGGGCAGUGAGAGCUGGAGCCCGGAGAUGGACACUGAGACACGGGUCCAGGCCCUACGGGGCGCAGCAGGCGCGAAACCUCCGCAAUGCUCGAAAGAGCGACGGGGGGACCCCAAGUGCCGUGGUACAACCACGGCUUUUCCGGAGUGUAAGAAGCUCCGGGAAUAAGGGCUGGGCAAGGCCGGUGGCAGCCGCCGCGGUAAUACCGGCGGCCCGAGUGGUGGCCACUAUUAUUGGGCCUAAAGCGUCCGUAGCCGGGCUUGUAAGUCCCUGGCGAAAUCCCACGGCUCAACCGUGGGGCUUGCUGGGGAUACUGCAAGCCUUGGGACCGGGAGAGGCCGGGGGUACUCCUGGGGUAGGGGUGAAAUCCUAUAAUCCCAGGAGGACCGCCAGUGGCGAAGGCGCCCGGCUGGAACGGGUCCGACGGUGAGGGACGAAGGCCAGGGGAGCAAACCGGAUUAGAUACCCGGGUAGUCCUGGCUGUAAAGGAUGCGGGCUAGGUGUUGCUUGGACCUCGAGUC